rnacentral:rRNA from 1 species
AUGGACUAUAUGAUUAGGAAGAUCUGGGCACCACCUAAUGUCAUUUUUUUACUUGGUUGGCCAUUCAAGAUAGAAUGUCGACCACAAGUAGAUUGCUCACGUGAGGUUACCAAAUUGUGGUCUUUGUCCGCUUUGCAAGAGGGAACAAGAGACCGACGCACACAUCCGCUUCAUAUACCGCUUCACCUUGAGACUUUGGAGUUUGGUAAAACAUUGGUUGCAUCUCGAGACGUCGAUAUCUCCUCUUGGCACUUGGGCCGCUCCGUGAAAGAAUGGUGGACUAACCGGGCUGGCUCUAGCACACCAAAUAUAAAAGCCAUUGCAUCCCUCACGAUGCUCAUUAUUUGGACAAUUUGGAACGAAAGGAAUGCAGUGCUCUACCUGCACAAGAGUGUACCACUGUCAGUCUUGCUAAACAUCAUCAAGACCGACGUGAGCCUUUGUGUCGCUGCAGGUGCCAACUAG